rnacentral:rRNA from 1 species
GAUGAACGCUGGCGGCGUGCCUAAUACAUGCAAGUCGAGCGAACGGACGAGAAGCUUGCUUCUCUGAUGUUAGCGGCGGACGGGUGAGUAACACGUGGAUAACCUACCUAUAAGACUGGGAUAACUUCGGGAAACCGGAGCUAAUACCGGAUAAUAUUUUGAACCGCAUGGUUCAAAAGUGAAAGACGGUCUUGCUGUCACUUAUAGAUGGAUCCGCGCUGCAUUAGCUAGUUGGUAAGGUAACGGCUUACCAAGGCAACGAUGCAUAGCCGACCUGAGAGGGGGAUCGGCCACACUGGAACGGAGACGCCGUCCAGACGCCUACGGGAGGCAGCAGUAGGGAAUCUUCCGCAAUGGGCGAAAGCCUGACGGAGCAACGGCGCGUCAGUGGUGAAGGUGUUCGGAUCGUAAAAAUCUGUUAUUAGGGAAGAACAUAUGUGUAAGUAAAUGUGGACAGAUUGACGGUACCUAGUCAGAAAGCCACGGCUAACUACGUG